UCUCCGUUGGUGAACCAGCGGAGGGAUCAUUACCGAAGUUACCUUCAAAACCCACUGUGAACCUUACCUCUUGCCGCGUUGUCUCGGCGGGAGGCGGUGUGCGUCGCGCGCCCUAGCGGGCCGCGCCGCUCCCGUCCCCGCCGGCAGCGCCAAACUCUAAAUGCACAGCGGACUGUACGUUCUGAUUUACAAAAAAAAACAAGUUAAAACUUUCAACAACGGAUCUCUUGGUUCUG
rnacentral:misc_RNA from 1 species